UGCCGGCGAGCGGCGGACGGGUGAGUAAUGCCUGGGAAAUUGCCCAGUCGAGGGGGAUAACAGUUGGAAACGACUGCUAAUACCGCAUACGCCCUACGGGGGAAAGCAGGGGUCCUUCGGGCCUUGCGCGAUUGGAUAUGCCCAGGUGGGAUUAGCUAGUUGGUGAGGUAAUGGCUCACCAAGGCGACGAUCCCUAGCUGGUCUGAGAGGAUGAUCAGCCACACUGGAACUGAGACACGGUCCAGACUCCUACGGGAGGCAGCAGUGGGGAAUAUUGCACAAUGGGGGAAACCCUGAUGCAGCCA
rnacentral:rRNA from 1 species